rnacentral:rRNA from 1 species
AUUGAACGCUGGCGGCAGGCUUAACACAUGCAAGUCGAGCGGAGAGAGGUAGCUUGCUACUGAUCUUAGCGGCGGACGGGUGAGUAAUGCUUAGGAAUCUGCCUAUUAGCGGGGGACAACAUUUCGAAAGGAAUGCUAAUACCGCAUACGUCCUACGGGAGAAAGCAGGGGAUCUUCGGACCUUGCGCUAAUAGAUGAGCCUAAGUCGGAUUAGCUAGUUGGUGGGGUAAAGGCUUACCAAGGCGACGAUCUGUAGCGGGUCUGAGAGGAUGAUCCGCCACACUGGGACUGAGACACGGCCCAGACUCCUACGGGAGGCGGCAGUGGGGAAUAUUGGACAAUGGGCGCAAGCCUGAUCCAGCCAUGCCGCGUGUGUGAAGAAGGCCUUAUGGUUGUAAAGCACUUUAAGCGAGGAGGAGGCUACUUUAGUUAAUACCUAGAGAUAGUGGACGUUACUCGCAGAAUAAGCACCGGCUAACUCUGUGCCAGCAGCCGCGGUAA